UUUUUUUAUUUGUAGAGACGGGGUCUGGCUAUGUUGCCAGGCUGAUCUGGAACUCCUGGACUCAAGCAUAAAAACAGUCAUCUUAUACAUUUCCACCCCUCAUUUUCUCUCUUUCAUUUAGCCCAGAGAGAGGAACGAGCUGUGGUAUAGAUGCUGUUCCUACCACUCAUAAAGCUGAAAGCAAUUACAUUUCACUCUAUCACAUACACCAAUACAAAUAAUAAAUGAACUGAAUACUUAAAAUAUUUAUAUAAGCAUAGAGAAAAGAAUGAGGAAUACACACCAUUUUUGCCUCUUAGAUGAUCACUAAAAGAGGUGACUAGGUGGGAAGAAAGAGGAGAAGUUUCCGCUUUAUGCAAUUCUGUAUCAUCUGUGUUUGUUGCAGAGAAUGUCAGCAAUUUGUAAAAAGUUAUGGAAAAGCUAAAAUAACUCCCUGUUAAAGAGGGCAGAGGAGAAAGCUCUAGCCCCUGUGUCAUCUCUGAAAUCAACUAAGAACUACAAGAAAGAGAAACAGAGAGGAAUCUCCACUUCUAUGAAGCCACAACUCAGGAGAGGACUAGCCCCCAGGUGGCUGGCGCCUGGGACCGGACAGAGGAGGAUGUGAUGAGCGAGACUCUCUGUGGACCUUGGUUGGGAGCAGUAAAGAGAAUCCAGGCUUUGCCAGUCGGGGCGCACUGCAGUGCGAAUCAGCAACCCCAAGCCCCGCCCUUAUUGGAGCUGCAAGGUUCAGUGCGUGGGCAAACCCUGAAACACCUUUGAACGUGUGGACCACCAUAGUGGCAGGAAGCUGAGAUGAAACAGGCGUGUGCGUCCGCAAGAGCAGGUGCUUAUCUGUCACCCAUGUGGGGAGAAACUGAGGGUCAGUAUGAGCCUAACCCAUAUGGACACUGCUCAGCGAAGAAGUGCAAGCUAAAUCACCCCAAUUCUGCAACAUGCAGGGUUUUGCUGUGAGUCAGCGAGACUUCCUGUUAGUCUGGAGAGGACCACACCCAGCGGAGAGGAGGAGAGAGGACAGGAGGAAGGUAGGGAUGCUGGACCCACGGUGCCUGCCCUGCCAGAUCACCUCCAGCCCUGGGCCUCGCGCCUGCUCCUGUGGACAUCCUUGCUGCCCCGUGGCGCACACAUCCCCUCAGAAUAAUGCCUUCCAAUGCAUGAGACAAAACACAGAGAGCACACAGGGAAUAUCAUCUCAAAAUAUUUUUAAAAGUUUGUGAUAUUUAUACACUGAUUAAUCAGAUCUAGCAGUGGGCCUAAUAACUGGUAUAAUUUGAAAGUAGUGGUGAAGGCAAUUGACAUUUCAGCAUAUCUGUAACAACGGUAAAGGGAUAUAAAAAUAUGUAAUUUCUACUGGUGAAAAAUGUAUCUACCGAUCCCCAUGAGCUCUGCUGCCUGCAUACAUUAAAAAAACUAAAGAUGAUAAUUUUUCCCAUUCAAGCUCACAGAUCCCCUGAAUUGUAUCCCCAGACUCCUUGGGGAUAUUUGCUAGGCUUUCUUCCAACUACUCUUCAAAAAAGAGCUACUCCAGGAAAAAAUCCAUUAUCUCAAAGAAAAGUGACCAUAUUUUUAAAGGAACCAUCAUGGAAACUACAAAAAGAUAAUGUGGGAGGAGAAAUAACAGGAAAAAAGGCAUAUAGGAAACAAAAAGAUAAAUGAAGAAUACUUAACAAUGAUAAUAUGCCAUAAACCAGGUGAAAAUUCAUGUCGCAGACACAAUAAUGGCUCUCAAAGAUGCCCACAACCUACUCCCUGAAAACAAUGAAUGUUAUGACACACAGUGCUAUGAUUCGAAUGUGUCUCCUGAAGUUCAUGUGUUGGAAACUUAAUCCCCAAGGCAACGGUGCUGGGAAGUGGGGCCUAAUAAGAAGUGAUCAGGUCCUGAGGGCUCUGCCUUCAUGAAUGAGUUAAUGUCAUCAUCAAGGGAGCGUGUUAGUUGUUGCAAGAGUGGCUUUGUUACAAAAGCAAGUCUGGCUCUCUCUUGCCCUGUGCCUUCCACUACGGGAUACUGCAGAAUGAGGGCCCUCGCCAGAUGCGGGCACCAUGCUCUUGAACUUCCCAGCCUCCAGAACCAUGAGCCAAAUACAUUUCUGUUCAUUACAAAUAACCCAGUCUGUGGUAUUCUAUUAUAGCAACAUAAAACGAACUAAGACACAUGGCUAAAGAGAAUUAAGGUAGCAGAUGGAAUUAAGUUUGUUAAUCAGCUGACCUUAAGGUAGGGAUAUUAUCCUGGAUCAUCCAGGUGGGGCUAACAUAAAGACCCUAAUAGAAGGGUCCUUACAAGUGAAAGAGGGAGAUGGAAGGUCAGAGUGAUUCCAUGUGAGGACUCAGACGGAAGCACUAUGAGCUAAGGAAUGAGGGAGGCCUUUUCCUCGAGCUAGACUCUAAGGGCUCUAGGGGAGACUCUCGAGCCCCCGGAAAGGAACACAGCCCUGCCGGCACCAUUGUUUUAGCUCAGUGAGACAUAUUUUACUUCAGACAUGCAGAACCAUAAGAUACUAAAUUUUUUGUUGUUUUAAGACAAUAAAUUUAUGGCAAUUUGUUAUGCCAGCCACAGAAAACUAAUACAAUUAGUAGCAACUAGAUCUCUGUGAAGUCGAAGAAUUUACAGGAAGGAUUGUCUAUCACAAAUAAAAGUCUGAAGAAGAGACAUAGGGUUGGGCAUUAAGGACAUGAGCAAAUAGAGAUGAAAUGACAGGCUGACAAACUCAGACUGAAAGCAGGAAAGCUUUGCGGAAAUGAAGACUGCAAUAAAAGCAGCAAAAAAGAAAACAAAAUCUGUUAAAUCAUUCCAUGUGGUAGAGAACAUGCUUGAGGAACUGAGCAAAAGAAACAGGGAAGUACAAAAUAUUUAGGAGCAUUUUAAGGUCAAAUGAAAGAUGUUUAAGUCAAAGGAGACCCAACUGUGAGAGCAAAUGCAUUCAUAUAGGCAACAGGUUUCUUAGGGCCAACUAAGAUAUCUGCUGCAGUGUUUUUUCUGGCCAGCCCCCUGGCUAGCCGGCCUGCCGGGGAGGCGUGAGUCAGGACACUCAUGUAACCAAGGUGUUGUCUUCUGUGUGAACCCAUGUGAUCACCAUGUGAUCACACUUCCCCAUGGCGUGUUGCCAUAUAUAAGCGCUCGCCAUGUUCUCGGCCACACAUUUCACCACUGCCGUGUCCCCCCAACAAUAAAGAGCAUCAUGUCUCACCUGCCUGCUGCCACUUGCCUUUUCUUCCAAUUUCCAAAGCCUGUGGCAGAGCACGCGCUAGCCACAGAGCAUGCUCCUCACACCCAGCGUAGUCGGCAGGAUCCAGAGGGGUAAGUGUCCCCUAUACCCCAGCAGGGAGGACAUGUGGCCUCCUACGAGCUUGUGGCAGCCAGUGGCAAUGGUCCUCAUGUCAUGGGCUUCUGCAAUGGGGAGCAGGUGGAAUGUCUCCCUGCAGUCCUGGAAAAGGCCUUGGAGGAGUCGCUGCAGCCUGGGGAGUGAGCAGCAGCUGGUCGGGUCGGCCGGCUCUUCCUCACAGCCCUCAGGGAGCAGCAUAAAGACAUCCUGUGACAAGAAGCCCAGACACCCCUGAGGAGCUGCGGGAGCUGGGGAAACAGUGCAGACAGCGUCCUGGGGUGACUGCCUGCCUGGUGGUUGCAUUUAUGACAUGAAGGGAUGGAUAGCGUCCUGUGCUCCCCAAGGGAGGCGAAGCAAUUGGCAUCCAUGACUAUACGUCCUUCCCUGAGGCAGAGGUUACAGACAAGCAGUCACUGUGGUGAGGGCGACCACGCCUUGCUUGAAUGGCUCUGGCUGCCGCUCGCACAGCAUGGGAUGACGCCGGAAAACUACUUGAAACCGUGAAUCUAGAAGAAGCCGCCACCAGUCUUUGAACCUGUUGGAACAAUAGGGUUGGGCGGUGAAUGACUCCAAGGUCCAGGGACCUGGCUUGUCAGUCAAAUUCUUGGGUGCUGUCUGGUCAGGACAUAGACCUCUAGUCAGCCCCGGCAGUGAUGAGGCCAACACCCUGGCAAGAGUGUGAUGGAUCAGGUCACCCUUGCUGGCUGACAAAGCCGUGUGGUUACACCGUCGUCUGGGCCAUGCCAGUGUAAAGACUAUGGCUCAAGUGAACCAGAGGCAGAAUCUACACACACCUAUGGCAGAUUUAUGGACGGCUUGUCGCUAAUGUGAGAUGUCUCCAAGGACCCGUUGCUGUGACCCCAGGUAACUCAGGACGAAACUGUUCUGCUUCCGGCCCCAACUCCCCUCAAGGAAGGAGAGAUGAAAACCUGGACACGGUCGUGGAGUAUAACGGGCCCUGAACCCCAGUGGAUUGGACUGUUAGCCCUGUGGGGGGAUGGGUUACAGUACCUCUCCAACAUGUCACCCACCGUGCUCACCUCUGAACAGCAAUUGGUGACAGUCACAGCGGGCAACUAUGGAAAGGGCACCCUUCUCAUGGGCACCUUAGUUCUUGCCCUUUGGGUAAUUCCCCGGGUUCCCCUCGUCUUGGCACCUGAAACCACCAGACCUGUUCUAGGUGAGACUGUGUGGCACCAUCGCCCAGGACAAAAGGCAACUCUGGCCGCAAUCUUGUCUCAGGACAGACAGGUAGCCUGUGUGCAGCCUGAAGGAUGUGAGUUAUCCUUAGCGGUCCCCCAUCUGCUCUUUCCUACCGACCCAGGUAAUCCAGGCUGACAGCAUCACCUCCUGGACUUGUGCUCAAGUCAAGAACAUUUCUCACUGCUGGGUCUGCACGGAGUUCCUGGUGGAAACCUCCGGUGGCCUGGCCUGGAGCAUCACCCCUGCUUCUCUGCAGAACCGGCCUUUCCUGACCAUGUGGCAUCCCCAGGACACCGACUACCACCCCAUUCGCAGGGUAGUCAGAAAACACCUACAAUGAACUCCGCGCCCACAUCCCACUUUGGGAUACACUGUUUGGGAAGGUCAGGGUUGGCUAUUAUGGGAACAAGUAGAAUUGUGCCAAGUGGCCCCUCUAUGUAUAGAACAGGGAAUGGGAUUGAGAAACCGCAUUAUGGGAUGGAUCCUGAAAGAGUUUUGUGAAAACAUUACUCAGAAUAAUUAUGCUACCCGCUGGUGGAGUGGAAAACCUUUGGUGGGGACUGUCCCUACGGAUAGAGUGUCCCCAGGAUUUCCGUGGGUAUGUGGAAGACAUGGGUGGCUUUAUCUUCUUGCUCAUUGGAUGAGAAGAUGCUCGUGGGGACGGCCACACAUCCCAGGGAAGGUCCUCCGCACCUUUACUGAGGAGCCACAUUACUGGGAUGCCGUGUUCUCCCAUUGGCAUCAGGUGAAACCCACUCCAUGGUGGUUUUCCCAGUAGCCAUCCUUUUUCCUGGGGGUGGAGCCAUUAAGGUAGAGAUAGAAGUGGGUGCCCUAGUGGAGCUACUGCUCGGGCCCUGAAUCAAACCCGGCAGGCCUCGGCCCUCCUGAUGGAUGAGGUCACUCAGAUGAGGAAAGUGGUUUUGCACAACCGCAUGGCCCUUGCUCUCCUCACUGCAGCUCAAGGAGGCCCAUGCGCAGUCGUACAUACUGAGUGUGGUGUAGAUACCUGAUCACCAGGAGGAUAUCUCCUCCGCACUGAAGGAAGUUGAGGAGGUACAGGCCAUCCAACAGUUAACUGGAGACCCACUAUAGCAAUGGUGGGAAUGUCUCUAGUCCUCCCGGCGUUGGACCCUUUUAGUGUUAGGAGCUGCUGGCUGUGGUCUGGUGAUACUGUGUUGUUCCCUGUAUUGUUGUGGUGGCCUUUGUGCCCAAGGGGCCUCCCUAUGGGCCCGUGUGUCAGCCCCGUUACCUCAGGGGUGGAAUGUAAGGGAAAGUGCAUUUGUAUAGCCAACAGGUUUCUUAGGCCAAACGAAGAUGCCUGCCAUACUGUUUUCUCUGGCCCAGCCCCACUGGCUUGCUGGGCUUCCGGGGAGGUGUGUGUCAGCACACUCAUGUAACCAAGGUGUUGUUUCGUGCGUGAACCAAUGGGAUCGCGCUUCUCCAUGGCGUGUGGCCACUACUGUUCAGAGCCAUAUGUAAGCGCUCGCCACGUUCUCGGCCAUGUGUUUCGCCACUGCUGUGUCCUCCCAUCAAUAAAGAGCAUGUCUCACCUGCA